UAGCUUGUCAAAAUCAUAAUAAACUAACUAAAUCCACCCAAAUCCUUAUAAUCCACCGUAAAAUUAGGUCAAAAGAACACAAUCACCUAACUAAAUCCAAAUUGUUCAAAAGUAAAUUAAAUAUUUGUUUAUCCACUAAUAUAAUAAUCACCAUGCUCAUCUACUAGACCUAAAAUCUCAUAAUCCACGCAAUAUCUUUGAUUAUCUUCUCAAGACACAAUCACCUAACUAAUUCCAACUAAAAUUUCACAAAUGACACAGAAAUUUGGUUCAACAUCACAAUCACCUAGCUAAAUCCAAAUUAUUCAAGAUUAAUUGAUACACCAAACAUCUUUAACUAUCUCCUCCUCAAGAUCAAAGUCGUAUAAUUAAAUUCAAGUUGUUCUAAAUUUAUUAAAGAUUCAUUUAUCCACCAAUAUAAUAAUCACCAUGCUCAUCUAUUAAACCUAAAAUUGGUCAGAAGAUCACAAUCACCUAACAAAAUCCAAAUUGUUCCAAACUAAAUUAAAUAUCUGUUUAUUCACCAACAUAGUAAUCACCCUGCUCGUCUACUAGACCUAAACUCUUAUAAUCCACCAAUCAUCUUUGAUUAUCAUCUCAAGACAUAAUCAGCUAACCAAAUCCAACUAAAAUCUCAUGAAUCACAGAGAAAUUUGGUUCAAUGUCACAACCACCUAACUAAAUCCAAAUUGUUCAAGAAAAAAUAAUCCAUCGAACAUCUUUGACUAUCUCCUCAAGAUCACAAUCACCUAACUAAAUCCAAAUUGCUCCAUGUUUACUAACCAUCCAUUUAUUCACCAAUAUAAUAAUCAAGAUGCCCAUCUACUACACCUAAAUACAGAUAAUCUACCGAACAUUUAUACUAGCUCUCCAAAAUCACAAUCACCUAACUAAAUCCAACAAAAACCUUAUAAACCACCGUAAAAUAAGGUUAAAAGAUCACAAUACCUAACUAAAUCUAAUUUGCAAACUAAAUUAAAUAUUUGUUUAUCCAUCAAUAUAAUAAUCACCAUGCUCAUCUAUUAGACCUAAGACCUCAUAAUCCACCAAACAUCUUUGAUUAUCUUCUCAAGACACAACCACCUAACUAAAUCCAACUAGAAUCUCAUAAAUCACAUAGGAAUUUGGUUCAAUAUCACAAUCACCUAACUAAAUCCAAAUUGUUCAAGAUUAAUUAAUAUACCAAACAUCUUUGACUUCCUCAUCAAGAUCCCAAUCACCUAACUAAAUCCAAAUUGUCCCAAACUAAAUUACAUAUCUGUUUAUUCACCAAUAUAGUAAUCAUCAUGCUCAUCUACUAGACCUAAAUCUCAUAAUCCACUAAACAUCUUUGAUUAUCAUCUCAAGACACAAUCACCUAACUAAACCCGACUAAAAUCUCAUAAAUCACACAAAAAUUUGGUUCAAUAUCACAAUCACCUAACUAAGCCUAAUUGUUCAAAAUUAAUUAGUACACCGAUCAUCAUUGACUACUACUCCUUAAAAUCACAAUCAACUAACUAAUCCAUCAAAAAUCUCAUAAUCCACCAUAAAAUUUGGUUCAAGAUCACAAUCGCCGAACUAAAUUCAAAACUUUUCAAGUUCAUUAAAAAAUUAUUUAUCCAUGAACAUAAUAACCAGCAUGCUUACCUACUAGACCUAAAUUCACAUAAUCAACCAAACAUCUUUUACUAGAUCGUCAAGAUCCCAAUCACCUAAUUAAAUCCAACUAAAACCUCAUAAUCCACGCAAAUUUAGUUUUAACUGUGCCUUGUCUAUUGUGGAAAUGCACGCAAAUUUAACUGUGCCUUCUAAACUAUGACGGAGGUAGUAUUUAACUUGCAGUGCUAAAAAUUUAUCGAACGUAAAUUAGCAUUGGCCCAAGGUAAACGUUUUACGCCAGUGCGCCGGCCGAAACGUUCGACCGGUCGCAGGCGCAACGCUCGAUGCCACCAGAUUGUAGCACACGUCUCGCUGCUUCCAUCCUCUCAUUUUUUUCUGUCUUAUCUUCUUCUCCAUCUCCCUCCCUUAUCCUCUUCCUCUGUCACUCCCAUCCCCUCCAUCUCUCUCUCUUUUUCUCCAGCGAGAGAAAUCCCUCCAUGAGAUUCAGCAGCUGGGAGGAGUGCGCAGCUACGCCCGCAACUGGGUGUGCCGCUCUCCAUGGCCUGCGCAGCCGGAUGCACUAGUCACCAUGGCCGAGCUGCAAUCGACCUCGUCGAUGGCGAGUUUUCGCUACAACCAUGGUUUGGUUUGCUGGAACCGGCCCAUGUUUUUGCUGCCACCCACCCUUGCCUGAAAUCUGCUUUCAUGGUGUUUUUGCUGGAACCGGCGAUCGAUUUUUGCUACAAUCGUUCUAUUUUUCUGUUAUUACUGGUGUGUGUCAUCUUUUUGUUACAUCCAUCUCCAUGACAUACGAGACCGGUGACUGUGUUUUUGAUACAACCUUUGUCACUUUUUGUUACCACAGGUGUUGACGUUUGCUAGUACAUUCAUUCUUUCACGAGAUGCUACAUCUCCUGUAGUUUUCCGGUCAAGUUUUUUGCUACAACCAUAUUUUGAUUUUGCUGGAACCGGAGACAUUUUUUUGCUACAUCCAUGUUUUGAUUUUGCGGGAACCACACCCAAUUUUUGCUACAUCCACCCACGACGGUGUUGGUCGACAGCAGUGAUGGCUAUCUUUUGCUGCAACCGCCUCAGAGUUUUGCCACUACCAGAGAUAUCAUUUGCUACUACCAGAGUUUUUUUGUACCAACAAUUUUUUGCUACAGCCAUAGCUUCAAUUUUGCUGGAACCGGGUUUUCAAAAUGAUUCAACAGGGGACGGCAACAUAUAGCUAUUUUUUUGACAACUUUUUUUUGUUGGCGAAGUUUUUGCUGCAUGCAUGGAUCCUGGCGAGAAACAUGAGAAGACGACGGCGAGUGCGGCAUCCAACAGCACGGGGGCGGCGGAGAGAGAAGGUCCAGGUGAGGGGGUGAAGGCCUGCGGCUGAAGGAUGUCCAGACGAGGGGGCUUUGUGAAGAGGACUAGGGAGAGGGGAAGUCAACGCGGGGAUUGAACGACUCGUAAUGGCUGGAUCGGGCGGCUGGGGCUAGUCCGGCCCGACCGUUCGGCCGGACUGCCGGCGCCUAUCACUGCCCAUGGCCCAAACAUUAAACAUGCUUAGAACGAAGAAAAGAUACCUUCUAGUAUAAUAAUACACUAAUCAAUUGACCUCGCUAAUUGCUAAUUGAUACUCCUCCUGAUUGUUGCAAACAACUUGAGCAAACGCGUGUCACACAUGGCAUGCACAGCUAGCUAGCUAGCUGCGCAGGUUCAUGGUCGGGGAACUUCGCCGGCGCUGGACGCCAGCUGCGCCCAAGCUUUCUCCCUGCUCAUCCUGUACCGGAUGCCGCACGCGUUGCACAGCGUGCCCGGCCCGUCCGGCCCGGUCCGCCACUGCGGCGUGUCCGUCCUGUGGGACUGAGAUCCAGUGACUUCACUUGGUGAAGUCACGUUGCAACUUUAGGCUCUUCAUCUCCAUCCAAAACAGAUCUAAUGGUUCAUAUCACACAAAAGUAAAAGCCCUUAGCACUUAGCAGUUUUGGACGAGUGCAGCUGAAGAAAAGAGUUCGUGGGAAUUUGCUCCGCUCUCCCGCGCCGCGCCGGCGUCUCGGACAGGGAGACGGCGCUGCUCCGCCGCAUCGGAGAGGAAGGGGAAUCGCACCACACCGCAACAUCUGGGAGAGAGAGCAAGGGAUUCGCGCCGGCCGCCGCAUUGGAGAGGAGCCGCGUGGCCGCGCCGGCCGCUGCAUUGAAGAGGAAAAGGAGCCGCGCGGCCGCACCGUCGCUGGAGGAGAGGGAGGAGCGGGCUGCCGCCGGAGGAGUGGGAAGGCCACGCGUGCCGCCGUCGCCGUCGGACCUCUGCCAUCCCGCAUCCAGUCGAGAAUUCAGUGUUGUGCUUCACAAUUGACUAUUGUAAGAUGGCAGAAAUUGGCAAGGGAAUACCUCAAGUUGGUAUGAGAUUCAGAAAUGUGGAUGAGGCUUGGGCAUUUUGGGUUGCAUAUGGGGGUCACACAGGCUUUGGUGUGAGAAGGAGAUAUGCAAACAAAAGCAGACUUGAUGGUCAGGUUGGUUCAUGUAGAUUUGUUUGUUCCAACGAGGGUCAUCGAAGAAAAGGGCAAACCGAUCAUGCAACAAAGCGUUUUAGAGCUGAAACAAGAACCACCAAGUUCGUAUGUCUUUUCAAUUGGAUCGAGAGGCCGGAAAUUAUGAAGUAACCGAGGUUGUGCUGGAACACAACCACUUGUUGCCAUUGCCACAAACUCGCCACUUGAUGAUAUCCCAAAGAAAGAUUUCAGAAAGAUAAGCUUUUGAAAUUGAAACCGCCGAUGAUUCCGGCAUUAUGCCACAAGCUGCACAUGAGUUUGCUUCUCAUCAAGUUGGUGGACCGAUUAACCUUGGAUAUACUUGCCGUGACCAAAAAAAUCAUUUGCGAACCAAGCGACAAAGGGAGUUGGCUUUUGGACAAGCUAGAAGUAUGUUGAAAUAUUUUCAUGACAAAACUGCUGACAAUCCAUCAUUCCAAUAUGCACUACAGUUGGAUUGUGAGGAGGAUAUAACCAACAUAUUCUGGGCUGAUGCUAAAAUGAUCCAAAUGUGCAGCAAGCCAAUGACUUUCUUAGUUCUGCAAAACUGAAGAAAAAGGAGGUUUCAUCUAAAAAUUUAAGAAGAAAGCAAACUUGGUUUGAUAAGUUACGUAAGGGGCGAAAGCAACCUAAAUCAGUGGCAACAACAAAAAAAGAAGCAAAGCAACAACAAUAAACGAAAAAAGACAGUGUGCAGCCUCAAGUGCAAAUGGAGAAUGAUGGCACAAACAAAGGAGGGAGUCCCAUGGGAGAAAGUGAGAAGCGUCAAGAAUACGAUGCAAUCGACAGCUUUACCAAGCUUUUGACAACUUCACGAGUUGACGAUGAUAUCUUCAUGAUGAUCUGAUCUAGUAUCUUCAAAGUUGCUAGGUAGUAUUUUGGACAGGGUUAACUACAGUAUUUUGGGGAUUGACCAGUCUUUUUUGGCCUAAGUGUACAAGUGAAAUGGCCUGCUUUUGUGUACUUGAAUGAUUACUCGACAUUAGCAUUUUUUGCUGUAGCAUUUGGAUGUUCUAUGAUGCAGCCUUUCAAUGUCAAAUGCCACUCUAUAUCUGUUUCAUGAGUAUUGUCAGUCAAAAAUAUGUAUGUGCAUGUAUGAUCUUUUUAGUUCAGCUAAG